CCUGAAAUAAGAGUAUGAACAUGUGCAUUUGGAAACUUAUAUAGUAUUGGAAGGUCACUUAACUUUAACCGUAGGUAUAUACAAAUAUGAACAUGUAGCAAGUAUGAAAUUUAUGUGCUUCCCAUUAGAAUGAUAAACAACUUAUCAUAUCAGUUCGCUUACAUUUGAAAGUUUUCUCUCAAAAUCAGGACAAUGAACAGUAUACAAUGCUACAAAGAAGUAACUAAACUACAUAAAAGUAUUGUGUAAGUGAAAA